CAAAUGUCCUUUUAUGGGAAAUCUGGUGUGGUACUGUAGAUGAAAUCAGAUGAAGGAUUUGUUGUUGACUCCAUUUGAAGAGCUGCUGCUAAUAGUUUGGAACGUUUUAUAGUGACUCUUUAUAACAGGACAACUAUUUAUCUUCAUUAAAGCCAAACAAACAAACAAACAAACGAAGGGGCAGAAAUCAGAAGAGUCAGGGAUCUAUCCCCUAACAAGUGCAGACACAUGAUUACAAAGCUGAGAGCCCCACAGACCGUUUCAUGUUCAGGAGUGUUGCUAUUCUCUUGAAGUCUUUAAAGAUCCUGAGGAAAGAUGACCUCGUCUAGUAAGAUAGACACCCUCUAGGUACACAGACAGACACAUGGCAGAGUCUAGACUCUUUAGACAGAUCUAGUGCUUUUAGUAUGUGUAGACGAUGCCAGGUCUCGGGUCUGUGCAGGGUUGGGCACUAUCACCUCCUUCCUCUCCUCUAUCUCCCCCCAUCCUCCAUAGGGCCCUACGUCCCUCCGGGAACCAUGACGAUUAAGGGCCCUACGUCCCUCCGGGAACCAUGACGAUUAAGUAAAUAGGAAAAUAAGUAUGUUCAAAGUGUACAAGAAACAAUAUGAGGGAGGUGUGGUUCAAACUCAUUCUCUACAUACCGGUCCAGCAGACACCCUCAUUCUCUACAUACCAGCCCAGCAGACACCCUCAUUCUCUACAUACCAGCCCAGCAGACACCCUCAUUCUCUACAUACCAGUCCAGCAGACACCCUCAUUCUCUACAUACCAGUCCAGCAGACACCCUCAUUCUCUACAUACCGGUCCAGCAGACACCCUCAUUCUCUACAUACCGGUCCAGCAGACACCCUCAUUCUCUACAUACCGGUCCAGCAGACACCCUCAUUCUCUACAUACCGGUCCAGCAGACACCCUCAUUCUCUACAUACCGGUCCAGCAGACACCCUCAUUCUCUACAUACCGGUCCAGCAGACACCCUCAUUCUCUACAUACCGGCCCAGCAGACACCCUCAUUCUCUACAUACCAGUCCAGCAGACACCCUCAUUCUCUACAUACCAGCCCAGCAGACACCCUCAUUCUCUACAUACCAGCCCAGCAGACACCCUCAUUCUCUACAUACCAG
ensembl:lncRNA